GCCUGGGCCCCGGCUCGGCGCUCACUACCGCGCGCAGCGCCUUUUGACCGGACUAUUUAUUCUGUACUCCUCGGAACAAACCACCCCGGAACUUGAAGCUAAGCCGCAGAGAUGGAUGUUAAGUAAAGGACCCCAUAUCGACAGGCUGGCCUACAGCCAAGCUGAGAGAAGAUGAAGGAGACAGAUGGGCAGUCGACCCGGGACGGUGCGGGCAGAAGCCGCAGGCCAGCCUCGCCCCGCCGACUCCUCCAGCAGAACAAAUGCGCCGGGCUUGGUGCCUGAAGUGCCGCAACAGGUGGCUGGCCAGGGCUGACUUCAUCACUCAGGCAUCAUCGUUCCACCUUCGUCUCCCAGGCCAGGCCUCCCUGUGGGGAUGUUUUGCCAGACCCCUCCCGCUCGCCCCCGUUUGCAGAGGUUUUCUCCCGAUAUAUUUUG